UGCUUUUGAUGGGCGUCGACCGGCGCACGGGUGAGUAACGCGUAUCCAACCUGCCCACCACUUGGGGAUAACCUUGCGAAAGUAAGACUAAUACCCAAUGACGUCUCUAGAAGACAUCUGAAAGAGAUUAAAGAUUUAUCGGUGAUGGAUGGGGAUGCGUCUGAUUAGCUUGUUGGCGGGGUAACGGCCCACCAAGGCGACGAUCAGUAGGGGUUCUGAGAGGAAGGUCCCCCACAUUGGAACUGAGACACGGUCCAAACUCCUACGGGAGGCAGCGGUGAGGAAUAUUGGUCAAUGGACGAGAGUCUGAACCAGCCAAGUAGCGUGCAGGAAGACGGCCCUACGGGUUGUAAACUGCUUUUAUAAGGGAAUAAAGUGAGAGUCGUGACUCUUUUUGCAUGUACCUUAUGAAUAAGGACCGGCUAAUUCCGUGCCAGCAGCCGCGGUAAUACGGAAGGUCCGGGCGUUAUCCGGAUUUAUUGGGUUUAAAGGGAGCGUAGGCCGGAGAUUAAGCGUGUUGUGAAAUGUAGAUGCUCAACAUCUGAACUGCAGCGCGAACUGGUUUCCUUGAGUACGCACAAAGUGGGCGGAAUUCGUGGUGUAGCGGUGAAAUGCUUAGAUAUCACGAAGAACUCCGAUUGCGAAGGCAGCUCACUGGAGCGCAACUGACGCUGAAGCUCGAAAGUGCGGGUAUCGAACAGGAUUAGAUACCCUGGUAGUCCGCACGGUAAACGAUGGAUGCCCGCUGUUGGUCUGAAUAGGUCAGCGGCCAAGCGAAAGCAUUAAGCAUCCCACCUGGGGAGUACGCC
rnacentral:rRNA from 1 species